GACGAACGCUGGCGGCGUGCUUAACACAUGCAAGUCGAACGGAAAGGCUCCAGCUUGCUGGAGCACUCGAGUGGCGAACGCGUGAGUAACACGUGGGUAAUCCGCCCUGCACUCUGGGAUAAGCCUGGGAAACAGGGUCUAAUACUGGAUAUGACCUUUCUCCUUAUGGGGUUUGGUGGAAAGUUUUUCGGUGUAGGAUGAGCCCGCGGCCUAUCAGCUUGCUGGUGGGGUGAUGGCCUACGAAGGCGACGAGGGGUAGCCGACCUGAGAGGGUGGUCGGCGACAUGGGGACUGAGAGAGGGCCCAGACGCCUACGGGAGGCAGCAGUGGGGAGUAUUGCGCAAUGGGGGGAAGCCUGAUGCAGCGACGCCGCGUGCGGGAUGACGGCCUUUGAGUGGUGAACCUCUUUCAGCAGGGACGAGGCGUAAGUGACGGUACCUGCAGAGGAAGCACCGGCUAACUAUGUG
rnacentral:rRNA from 1 species